rnacentral:rRNA from 1 species
CCUACGGGUGGCAGCAGUGAGGAAUAUUGGUCAAUGGACGAGAGUCUGAACCAGCCAAGUAGCGUGAAGGAUGACUGCCCUAUGGGUUGUAAACUUCUUUUAUAUGGGAAUAAAAUGUUCCACGUGUGGGAUUUUGUAUGUACCAUAUGAAUAAGGAUCGACUAACUCCGUGCCAGCAGCCGCGGUAAUACGGAGGAUCCGAGCGUUAUCCGGAUUUAUUGGGUUUAAAGGGAGCGUAGGUGGAUUGUUAAGUCAGUUGUGAAAGUUUGCGGCUCAACCGUAAAAUUGCAGUUGAAACUGGCAGUCUUGAGUACAAUAGAGGUGUGCGGAAUUCGUGGUGUAGCGGUGAAAUGCUUAGAUAUCACGAAGAACUCCGAUUGCGAAGGCAGUUCACUGGACUGCAACUGACACUGAGGCUCGAAAGUGUGGGUAUCAAACAGGAUUAGAUACCCCAGUAGUC